rnacentral:rRNA from 1 species
AGAGUUUGAUCCUGGCUCAGAAUGAACGUUGGCGGCGUGGAUUAGGCAUGCAAGUCGAGCGAGAACCCAGCAAUGGGGGACAGCGGCGCAAGGGACAGUAAUGUGUAGAUCAUCUGCCCUUCGGACCGGGAUAGCCGCGGGAAACUGCGGGUAAUACCGGAUAACAUCUCCGGAUCAAAGGUGUGAUACCGCCGAAGGAUGAGUCUACAUCCUAUUAGCUAGUUGGUAGGGUAAUGGCCUACCAAGGCGAUGAUGGGUAGCGGGUGUGAGAGCACGACCCGCGUCAUUGGGACUGAGACACUGCCCAGACACCUACGGGUGGCUGCAGUCGAGAAUCUUCGGCAAUGGGCGCAAGCCUGACCGAGCGACGCCGCGUGCGGGAUGAAGGCCUUCGGGUUGUAAACCGCUGUCAGAGGGGAUGAAAUGCAGGUGGGUUCUCCCAUCUGUUUGACAUAGCCUCAGAGGAAGGACGGGCUAAGUUCGUGCCAGCAGCCGCGGUAAGACGAACCGUCCAAACGUUAUUCGGAAUCACUGGGCUUAAAGGGUGCGUAGGCGGCGCGGCAAGUUGGGUGUGAAAUACCUCGGCUCAACCGAGGAACUGCGCCCAAAACUGCCGUGCUCGAGGAAGAUAGAGGUGAGCGGAACUUAGGGUGGAGCGGUGAAAUGCGUUGAUAUCCUAAGGAACACCGGUGGCGAAAGCGGCUCACUGGAUCUUUUCUGACGCUGAGGCACGAAAGCUAGGGUAGCGAACGGGAUUAGAUACCCCGGUAGUCCUAGCCGUAAACGAUGAGCACUGGAUUGGAGGGUCCUCCAUAGCCUUCCAGUCGCAACGAAAGCGUUAAGUGCUCCGCCU